GCCCUCGUGAUGUAAUGGUAAGCACACUCGGCUCGUAUUCAAGAGGUCCAAGGUUCGAGUCCUGGUGAGGGCA
rnacentral:tRNA from 1 species